UACGAAGGGGGCUAGCGUUGUUCGGAAUCACUGGGCGUAAAGCGCACGCAGGCGGAUCGAUAAGUCGGGGGUGAAAGCCCGGGGCUCAACCUCGGAAUUGCCUUCGAUACUGUCGGUCUCGAGUCCGGGAGAGGUGAGUGGAAUUCCUAGUGUAGAGGUGAAAUUCGUAGAUAUUAGGAAGAACACCAGUGGCGAAGGCGCCUCUCUGGCCCGGUACUGACGCUCAUGUGCGAAAGCGUGUGGAGCAAACAGG
rnacentral:rRNA from 1 species